rnacentral:rRNA from 1 species
GACGAACGCUGGCGGCGUGCCUAAUACAUGCAAGUCGAGCGGUCCCUUCGGGGAUAGCGGCGGACGGGUGAGUAACACGUAGGCAACCUGCCUGUACGACCGGAAUAACUAUCGGAAACGAUAGCUAAGACCGGAUAGCUGGUUUUCUCGCAUGAGAGAAUCAUGAAACACGGGGCAACCUGUGGCUUACAGAUGGGCCUGCGGCGCAUUAGCUAGUUGGUAGGGUAACGGCCUACCAAGGCGACGAUGCGUAGCCGACCUGAGAGGGUGACCGGCCACACUGGGACUGAGACACGGCCCAGACUCCUACGGGAGGCAGCAGUAGAGAAUCUUCCGCAAUGGACGCAAGUCUGACGGAGCAACGCCGCGUGAGUGAUGAAGGUCUUCGGAUCGUAAAGCUCUGUUGCCCUAGACGAACAGCAAGGAGAGUAACUGCUCUUUGUGUGACGGUAUAGGAGAAGAAAGCCCCGGCUAACUACGUGCCAGCCGCCGCGGUAA